rnacentral:rRNA from 1 species
GACGAACGCUGGCGGCGUGCCUAACACAUGCAAGUCGAGCGAGAGACUUUGGUCUCUAGCGGCGGACGGGUGAGUAACACGUGGGUAACCUGCCUCAUAGUGGGGGAUAGCCUUCCGAAAGGAAGAUUAAUACCGCAUAUACUCUCGAUACCACAUGAUAUUUAGAGGAAAGGAGCAAUCCGCUAUGAGAUGGACCCGCGACGCAUUAGCUAGUUGGUGAGGUAACGGCUCACCAAGGCGACGAUGCGUAGCCGACCUGAGAGGGUGAUCGGCCACAUUGGAACUGAGACACGGUCCAGACUCCUACGGGAGGCAGCAGUGGGGAAUAUUGCACAAUGGGCGAAAGCCUGAUGCAGCAACGCCGCGUGAGUGAUGACGGCCUUCGGGUUGUAAAGCUCUGUCUUUUGGGACGAUAAUGACGGUACCAAAGGAGGAAGCCACGGCUAACUACGUGCCAGCAGCCGCGGUAAAAC